rnacentral:tRNA from 1 species
GGCGUGGCUCAGUUUGGUAGAGCGCUUGGUUCGGGACUAAGAGGUCGUGGGUUCGAAUCCCGUCGCC